GACAGAGGUCCCGAGCGUUAGGCGGAAUCACUGGGCUUAAAGCGUGUGUAGGCGGACUUCUAAGUACCUUGUGAAAUCCCACGGCUCAACCGUGGAACUGCUUGGUAUACUGGUUGUCUUGGGCCAUCUAGGGGCGAGCGGAACAAACGGUGGAGCGGUGAAAUGCGUAGAUAUCGUUUGGAACGCCAAUGGUGAAAACAGCUCGCUGGGGAUGUGCCGACGCUGAGACACGAAAGCCAGGGGAGCGAACGGGG
rnacentral:rRNA from 1 species